rnacentral:misc_RNA from 1 species
GAUGAAGAACGCAGCGAAAUGCGAUAAGUAGUGUGAAUUGCAGAAUUCAGUGAAUCAUCGAAUCUUUGAACGCACAUUGCGCCCUUUGGUAUUCCAAAGGGCAUGCCUGUUCGAGCGUCAUUUGUACCCUCAAGCUUUGCUUGGUGUUGGGCGUCUUGUCUCUAGCUUUGCUGGAGACUCGCCUUAAAGUAAUUGGCAGCCGGCCUACUGGUUUCGGAGCGCAGCACAAGUCGCACUCUCUAUCAGCUAAGGUCUAGCAUCCAUUAAGCCUUUUUUUCAACUUUUGACCUCGGAUCAGGUAGGGAUACCCGCUGAACUUAAGCAUAUCAAUAAGCGGAGGA